rnacentral:tRNA from 1 species
GCCUAUAUAGUUAAGUAGUAUAAUCUUAGUUUUUAAUAACUAAAGGUUAUAGGUUUAAAUUUUACUAUAGGUA